CUGUUAUAGUGGUUUGAUAUGUGAACAUUUGCAGGGUUUGCUAAAGAUACUGAUACGAUUCCACUUCGACUCUACAAAAAAGAAUUUGUGGAAUGGGAUUCUUUCUCUACCUUAAAAGCUCAUGUCUUGGGAGUUGGGAUAGUUACUACUGGAUCAAAAGGCUGUAAACUGUCCACAUCAAAGAUUAUUAACAUUUAGUUAGCUGUAACAUCCUUGGACCAAGUAUGAUACAUGUGAAUGGAACAGUUGCAAUAAAAAUCCAUCUGGAUACUGAUAUCUCCAUCAUAAGAGAUGUCAGGGUACCCAUCCCCCCCACCCCCCCUCCCCCAUACACACGCAUGGAAGGUAAAGUAUUCAUGCAUUUGGAGUAAAUACUGACUGGUAGCAUGUGAUGCCCAUCAGCCUAUGGAGUCGAGUAAGGUAAGAAGUGAAGUGUGAGUGUUGUGGUUUGCGGGAUUGGUUUUGACGGUUUUGGUUAACAGGAAGGGCAUGAGUUUCGUCAGCACAUUUAUUCAGGCGAGGAGAGGAGCAGAUGACAGACACGGAGAGGUAAGAGCAAUUAUUGUUCAUGGGACCGGGUGGAUGGGCGCUUUGAUUUGAUAAACUGACUGAGAUAAACCCCCCUGUGGAUUGUGAUCAUAAAAAAAUUGUUGAAAAAUUUUAUCUGUUUUAUGAGUUCUUGAUUGUACAUGGGGAAAAAUUUAUAUAUUACAGCUGUUUUAGCAGAGGACAAGGUUGUCCCUUGAAUUGAACCAUAUGAUCAUGAGUUGAUGCUAUCCAAGAAAAUUUAUUGCUGCAGAAGUUAUUAUUAUGAGUGAUUGACUUUUGGGGACCCCUUCACUCUUCUUCCAUUCUAAUGCUAUAGUUGUGGCACACAGUUUCAAACAUUCUACUUCAUGUAAUCAUGUCAUC